rnacentral:rRNA from 1 species
UCGUGCCUACGGGGGGCAGCAGUAGGGAAUUUUCGUCAAUGGGCGCAAGCCUGAACGAGCAAUGCCGCGUGAACGAGGAAGGCGUUCGGAUCGUAAAUUUCUGUUGAAGGGGAAAAAGAGCGGAGAGAGGAAAUGAACUCCGAUUGAUAUUACCCUUCGAGGAAGUCACGGCUAACUACGUGCCAGCAGCCGCGGUAAUACGUAGGUGGCGAGCGUUAUCCGGAAUGAUUGGGCGCAAAGGGUGCGUAGGCGGCCUGCUAAGUCUGGAGUGAAAGGUACCGGCUCAACCGGUACAGGCCCUGGAA